rnacentral:rRNA from 1 species
AGAGCGAACGCUGGCGGCAGGCUUAACACAUGCAAGUCGAGCGGGCGUAGCAAUACGUCAGCGGCAGACGGGUGAGUAACGCGUGGGAACGUACCUUUUGGUUCGGAACAACCCAGGGAAACUUGGGCUAAUACCGGAUAAGCCCUCACGGGGAAAGAUUUAUCGCCGAAAGAUCGGCCCGCGUCUGAUUAGCUAGUUGGUGAGGUAACGGCUCACCAAGGCGACGAUCAGUAGCUGGUCUGAGAGGAUGAUCAGCCACAUUGGGACUGAGACACGGCCCAAACUCCUACGGGAGGCAGCAGUGGGGAAUAUUGGACAAUGGGCGCAAGCCUGAUCCAAGCCAUGCCGCGUGAGUGAUGAAGGCCCUAGGGUUGUAAAGCUCUUUUGUGCGGGAAGAUAAUGACGGUACCGCAAGAAUAAGCCCCGGCUAACUUCGUGCCAGCCGCUGC